UAGAUUGCUUGCUUAAUGUAUACAAGACUCUGGGUUCUAUCUCCAGCACCGCAAAGGAAAAAAAAAGGAGGUACCUUUUUGAGGAGUGUGCCUGUGUGGGGAGAGCUUCCUGCCCAGGGGCUAGCCUAGACCUCAGCUAAUUCCAGGAGCAUUUGUGGACUAUUUGAAAGCAGAACUCCAGAAAUCAUUUUCUAGGAUAACACCUUUGUCCAUCUUCACUCGAUUACAGAUCUGAUUGGCUGUUUUGCCUUGGAAGUGACAAUCUGGUGGUGAUUAUAAUAGGAAUAGACUACUAGUACAGACAUUUUCUGAGAGGUUAACCAACACCACCAAAAAGGUUUGUGGUACCGCUAGACUAACUCUGUACUUGAUCACCAUCAUAAUCACACUCCCUGCCUGAGCCAUGGAAUCUGUGUCUAUCCCUGUACUGGUUGCUGGACUGAUUGAUUGUGUAGCUCAGCUAAUAAGAAUAGCUGAGGAUCUAUUACAGUUCAUCUCGCAGGAACAAGUUCCUUCUGUGCAACAGAAUGCUAGAGCAGAAGAGGCAGAAGCAGCUGCACCUCCUGCCGAGGAAGAUUCCUUACCGGAUCUUGCGGAUCUUUCCGACUUAGAAUCAAUCCUUUCAGUAAGAGAAGAUGAUGAUCUAACCCUUGACAUGGAUGAAACUAUGAUAGAUAUCAACGAGAUAUACAAGGAUAUACUUCCUGCCAUAAAGGAUGAUACAGAAAGUGAGUGAGAGCCAGCAUGUGAAAAAUCAUCAUUUUUUUCCAUUUCUUCCCCCCCCCCCAGGCUUCAGGAACAGCUGUUUUAUUCUAGUUCAGCAUAGUUUCAUUAUUAAAAACUUUUAGAUUAGGUAAACCUUGAUUUUUUUGGCAAAAUCAUUUUUUCUAUGUUUUAAUUCAAAAGACUGGCUUUAAUUAUAUAGUUCUUGCUUUACCUGUACUAUUAGGAUUCUUCAUGAUAAGACCAAAUAAUAGAAAGGAGAAGAAGACUCUACCUAAGAAUACAAUGAAGACCUGAUGAACUCUACCAAUACGCAUACCAGCGUCACUGCUCUGUGAGAAUGAGAAAUUCUAAGGGUAGUGUUCCACAGCAUGGUAGUCCAGUAUUUUCUCAUGGACAGUACAACAUCGGCACAUUGUAUUUUAAAGAGGGAGGUUUUUAUGGCAGAGUAAGGUAAAUAACUCUGAAAGUGCAACAUCUACCAGGCAAUAAAAGUAUAGAAAGCUUUCCAGGUUUCCCAGGGCCAAACUUUUGAGAAUUCUAGCGUCAAGAUACUGAAGGCAAGACUGAUGCUGGGUUCCAACCCACACAUGCUGAUGUGUGCUGAAACUCUUUUUUUUUUUUUUUUUUGCAAUAUUGUCCUAUGAUGGACUAUUGAAGCUUAUACCAAAAAGCAAAGAGAGAAGUUCUAGAAUGGCAAGAAAGGGUAUAACAAAGGCUUCAUCAAUGGAAAACCAAGCGCUUAUGUCAUCAGCUCGGAGAAAAUGGUCUACAAGGGGAAGUGGACAGUACACAUCUUCUUGUAUGUAAAUGAGUUUAAGGCAAAUACUUGCGAGGCUUAAUGUGGUAGGACUGUUACAACUUUAACCUAGCAAUAUUUGUUAUUGAGGUAAAAAUAUAAAUAAGAUGUAGACUGGUAUUGAAGCACAAUAACGCUGCACAUGUCAGAAGGGUGAAACAUAAUAUCUGAAGCCCCCCGCCCUCCCACUGAAACAGAGAUCAACUGAAUAAGUGUGUAAGAAAUUCACCUAUGAUACCACCUUAGGCCGUUCAAUCCUUUUACUUCCAUGGACAGGCAGUAUGGCCUUUUUACCUACCAAUUUACAUAGAAUCUUAAAGUACAUAAUAGUUAAAAAGAUUAAGAGGGCAUUUAAUACAGAUGAUUUCAGAGCCAACUAACAUGGCAGAUACAUGACAAAAAUACCCACAGAGCAAAUGAAAAUUAUGUCAAAUUGUAAUUAGAGGGGUUAAUUAUAUAUUACAGUAGGCAGCAUGCUGUAACCCCUUGCUACAAUAACUUUAAUAAGCCAAUUGAAUCAUAUUUUCCCAGUAUAGAAAAGAUUCUAGGCACACAGUACAGACAAAGCAGCAAGUAGGUGAUACACUGAACAGGAACCUAAUUUCGGUUAAGGAGAUUGGAGAUUGCAAGAUUGGAGAAAGGAAGAAGAAAUUAUUUUUCCAUUCCAGGAGGAAAUGUUAAUGAAUAAUAAUUAUUAUUAUCAUUAGUGGAACAGGUAAGAUUAUUUCUAUAGUCUAUAAGAACAUUUACCAAUAGUAAUAAUAAUAGGCCUGUAUGAAAGUUAAAAAAUAAUCUACACUUUGAGUAAGGGCUUAGUAAAAACUAGGGGAAAUAUAUAUACUGCCGCCAGGGAAAUUUGAACUGUAGGAGAUAGGGUAUAAUUUUUUUGUCAAAAUAAUGCUCAAAUUAUGAUUAAUUGAACAAAAUCAGGAAAAAUAUCCAGGGAGAGGUCACCAGUCUACUAUAGAUUCUAUUUGGUGAGCAAUUUACCGAGAAAGAGCAAAUGAUGCUCUGCAUGCCUGAUAGACACACUAGAGAGUAGAUAGUGAUCCAAGUAGACCUCUAGAAUAUGGGCUUUGUAACGUUUCCAUAGUAAAUUAGUAAGAUUUUGUUAAAAGUCAGAAAGCAUAGACCACCAAUAAACUCAAACAGGUCAUAGUAAGAGAAACCUGUAAGUCUACUCUAGACAAAGGCUUAAACAAAUAAUAGACCGUGUUGUUCUUAAACAUCAGAAAAAGAAGAUGCUGCAAGUUCAUCAUAUGUGGAUCUGCUUUGCCUAUUGCAUUUCACUAUUUGCCUUGAUUGUAUAAUUACGUGCACUUAAGAACUGUUAAGAUGUAACUCUAUUUCAAGAAGUGGACUGUUGUAUUGAGUAUGUUUGCUAUAUGGAAAGGGAUUAGAAAUAGAGUUAAAAGUGACAAGGAAUAAUCUUAGCAAUAAGAAAACCCUUAAGAACAAGAGCUAGUGGGGAAGGUAUUUUUCAGUAGAGAGAACAUUUUAAAUUGCUAACAGUUAACACAGUUGUUUGAGAUGGGGUUACUUCCCAAGUGAGUUCAUUUACCUAUGCCUUAUGAAAAUUAGCCAAUUGUAAGCUAUUGGUAGAAGUAACUAGUUGGCAAUUGAUAUAGAUUAAGUAGAUAGAGAGUCAAAUUAAAAGGAGAAAUACUAAUAAAUAUGUUAACUGGAUGUCUCCAAUUGAGAUGUUGACUCUCCUCCAGAAGACUGGAGUAACUAGUCCACUAUCCAAGUAGCCUUGUUUUGUAUCUUUUUAAGGUUAAUGCUAAAAACAGAUUUUGUAUGGCAUAGAGAAAUGGAGAGGGAGCAAGGCUCUAUAUUCUGAGCCCAACUUAGAGGUGUUAAAAUCAAGAAAGACAGGCUGGUAAAUGGCAUUGAUGUACACAGUACAAAUCUGCAUUAGCUGAAGUAUAGAAGCUGCUGACAGUAUAUACCUUUAUCUUUACAUGUAACCAUUUCUUCAAAUUAUUAGGUUAUAAUCACUUAUGAUCUUUAUUGACUAUUGUUCCAAACUGCUUGCCCACUUGUAGGAGAUUUUUAGCUAAUAAAACUUGAUUUAAAAGCCAAA
ensembl:antisense